rnacentral:pre_miRNA from 1 species
AGCCUCCUGUAUCCGUGCUGCGAUUUCGUCACACACCAGACCACAAGGGCUUAUGAGACUUCCAAGAUAAGUGAAGCG